rnacentral:rRNA from 1 species
UACGUAGGGGGCGAGCGUUGUCCGGAAUUAUUGGGCGUAAAGCGCGCGCAGGUGGUUUCUUAAGUCUGAUGUGAAAGCCCCCCGGCUCAACUGGGGAGGGUCAUUCGAUACUGAUCGACUCGAAGGCAGGAGAGGGUAGUGGAAUUCCCGGUGUAGUGGUGAAAUGCGUAGAUAUCGGGAGGAACACCAGUGGCGAAGGCGACUACCUGCCUGUUCUUGACGCUGGAGGCGCGAAAGCUAGGGGAGCAAACGGG